rnacentral:rRNA from 1 species
GCAACGGAUAUCUCGGCUCUCGCAUCGAUGAAGAACGUAGCGAAAUGCGAUACUUGGUGUGAAUUGCAGAAUCCCGUGAACCAUCGAGUCUUUGAACGCAAGUUGCGCCCGAAGCCACUAGGCCGAGGGCACGCCUGCCUGGGCGUCACGCGCCGUUGCCCCCCUC